rnacentral:rRNA from 1 species
UACAGAGGGUGCGAGCGUUUAAUCGGAAUUACUGGGCGUAAAGCGUGCGUAGACGGUUUUGUAAGUCGGAUGUGAAAUCCCCGGGCUCAACCUGGGAAUUGCAUUCGAGACUGCAAGGCUUGGGUGCGGAAGAGGGAAGCGGAAUUUCCGGUGUAGCGGUGAAAUGCGUAGAUAUCGGAAGGAACAUCAGUGGCGAAAGCGGCUUCCGUGGUCCAGCACCGACGUCAGGCACGAAAGCGUGGGAGCAAACAGG